rnacentral:lncRNA from 1 species
GUUGAAUAUUUAGUUGAAAUCUUCAUGGAGUUUUACUUCAAAGGGAAUGAAAUAUCCCUAAAAAUCUGAGAGUUUCUUCCUAGUUCUCCCCCAAAACUGAGUUCAACCGAUUAGGGUAUUUUGAGUGUGCUUUAUGUGUGAGUAUGUGGCACCACCGUUUACCUUGUUCUGUGCCACUGCCACUGCCGCUGCUGUAUUCUAGUGAUGAUGACGCCGAUUCGUUUUGGGGCAUGUUGUUGACUCGCCUGGCUGGAUGGGGCUGUGCGGAUGUUGGCCUGGUUGCUGGCUGGGUCGCUGGUUGUGUUUGAGCUGUUGUUAAUUUUCCUAAAAUCAAAGCACAAAACUCACAGGAAAUGUAAACCGUUUUGUGGUAAUUCAAAACACGACGACACAACUGAAACUGGAACACAGUUUACAAGAAAUUGCAUUUGCCUUUGCCCUGUGCCCUGUACCCCGUUCGAACAACUCAGCCAAAACUCUUACGAUCGCACAGAGAUGCAGGGCUUAGUGUCUCUUGUUGGCUUUAUGUGUUCAUCGUCUUAAG